CGGUCCAGACUCCUACGGGAGGCAGCAGUAGGGAAUCUUCCGCAAUGGGCGAAAGCCUGACGGAGCAACGCCGCGUGAGUGAUGAAGGUCUUAGGAUCGUAAAACUCUGUUAUUAGGGAAGAACAAACGUGUAAGUAACUGUGCACGUCUUGACGGUACCUAAUCAGAAAGCCACGGCUAACUACGUGCCAGCAGCCGCGGUAA
rnacentral:rRNA from 1 species